rnacentral:rRNA from 1 species
UACGUAGGGGGCAAGCGUUAUCCGGAUUUACUGGGUGUAAAGGGAGCGUAGACGGCUGUGCAAGUCUGAAGUGAAAGCCCGUGGCUCAACCGCGGAACUGCUUUGGAAACUGUUUAACUGGAGUGUCGGAGAGGCAAGUGGAAUUCCUAGUGUAGCGGUGAAAUGCGUAGAUAUUAGGAGGAACACCAGUGGCGAAGGCGGAUUGCUAGACUGUAACUGACACUGAGGCACGAAAGCGUGGGGAGCAAACAGG